GUAUUCACUUCAUCAGUACCUAUUACAAAAUUGGAAUGAUACACAGAAGAUUAGCAUGGCUCCUGCACAAGGAUGACAUACAAAUUAAUUAUUUGAUAUUUUU